GACAAGGAGCACAAGUUAUGUAGUCAGAAAGACAGCUUGAAUCCUAGCUCUGGUGACAUAUGCAGGUCAUUCCAGUCCUCUGAGUCUCCAUUUUCUUCAUUUGUAAAACUGAGAUAACAAUACCUUAAUCAUAAAAUUGUUAAGAGCAUUAGACAUGCAUGUAAAGUGCCAAGUGCAGCACCUGGCAUAGAGUAGGUAAAGAGUAAGACUAAAUUUUUCUUCCCUCAGGAGAUAUUAUUUUACUACACAAUUGAGUUAAUCUAGUACACUAUGGAGAUCAUAGUCCAGAGAGGAAGACAGAUCAUUUUAAUAUUACACAAUUGCUUUCUCAUGUAAUGUACUUACAUGAGAAAUGUACUUAUGGUACUUAUCAAUGUACCUUGCACUAUUCAUGAUUUAACAUUUGUGACCCUCAUGAGCAGGUGAAGAAAAAGAAUUACUACAGUUCAUCAGUAAACAUCCUAAUACCCCUUUAUUUUAUAAACUUUUGUUCAUAUAUCUGAAGAAUCAAUUCCUAGAAUUGAAACUGCUGGGCAAGGAGUAUGCACAUUUUACAUUUGGAUAGCUACUAACAAAUUUUUCAUGUGUACACAGCCAUGUUGCACUGCCUCUGACAUACAAAAUCAAUGCAGGACGGUCAUGGGGAUACAGACAGAUCAUGGUCAAAAACAAAGUGCUUUCUCAUAGUUGAACACAACUCACAUCAACUCAGACUGCCUGGGUUGGAGUAAUAUGUUUUCAAGAAUAGAUUUAGUGGUCAAGAUUCUGUAAAGGGUGUUACAACACUGGGUAUGAAAUUAGAGAAGCUGACAUCUAAGGAAUCUCUGAAAUUCAGAAUUAGGAAAACCUCCCAAAUGAAGCUCAUUUGGCUCUGAGCCCUUCCAAACAUGAUGUGUUUUGCAGAUGAGCCCCAGAGAGCACCAAAAACUUUGCAGGACCAGCUUCUGGUUCCUCUCCUAAAGCACCCUGGCCCCGCCUUCUAGAGUUUUUGCUAAGUCUUACCUCUGGACUCUGCUUCUUUUCUACCUCAAAGACAGGUCCAGCCUCCAUAGAAGUCUGAUUAUUCUGAGACCAGCAGACUUUUAAGGAAGCCUAAGUGAGCCACUUGAAGAUGACACAUGAAGGAGGAUCUGAGUGCUUUGAUUGACAGCCCCACAUGAGAUCCCAGCCUUCAGUCACCGACUGCCAUCAUCUUGAACAUUCCAAAUCAUUUGAGUCUCUGGCAAGCCAUCUUGGACAUUCCAGACCAGUUGAGCUUUCAGGUGACUGCAGCCAUAGCUCACCUCAUGUAGAGAAAAACUACCCAGGAUACAUUUGUUAACAUUUUUCACCCACCUUAGGGGUAGCAGUGAUAUCACUGACCCUACAAAAAACAGAAGACACCGAUUAGCUGAAGACGCAUCAGCAUUGUUUGAAAGUUGGAUUUGGAAGUUCCCCAUACAUCCCCAUCAAGAACAGUGAUGUCAGCAGGGUCCAUAUGGUGUUUAAGGAUGCAGGGUGGUACCCAGAGCUUGAGGCAAGCUGGAGAGAUCCCUAAGGACAGAAUUUUAAGUCACAUCCUGAAAACAACAGGGCAUGUGGAAACUGCCUGUUCUCUGUUGAGUCUUCAGUCCUGGUAACUGAACUAAAAAAGAUGGUGCUGUUUGGUUCUCAACGCCAGACUCAACCAGAAGAAGGAAAUAACUAUUUCUGUUGGCAGGUCACUGUGAUUAAUACUGGGGAUCCAGGAGUGGAUGCAGAGACAGAGAGAAGAAGCUCACUCUCUUCUGGAGGAAAAGACAUUAAUUAUAAGACAAGGCAAAGAAUCGCUGCACUGAAGGUAUAAACCACAUGCUACGGAGAAGAGGAAAGUGGUAGAAAGUGUGUAGACUGCAGAGGAUCUUGAUUUGAGUCCUGCUUUUCACCCUUAUUGGAGGUGUGACUUUGGACAAGUUAUUUAAAGUCUCUAAGCCUGUCUUCUCAUCUGUAAAAUAGGGACACUAAAAGCACUGUAUUAUGCCAUCUUAUUGUGAGCAUAAAGUGAGACAAAAUGUGUAGAAUCUUGGAACAUAAUAGAGGCUGAAAAGAUAUUAAUCCUCAUUCCUUUGUUUUUGUCUAAGUAAAAUGGAAGGCUUUACAAAGAAGAGGGGCUUUGGAUAUGGGCUUUGAGAGUAAGUAGGAGUUCAAAAGGAAGAAAUGAGGGGAAAGGCAGGAUGAGCAGAAUAGACAUCCUCAACAAAGCCCAGAAGUGAUAAGCUACACGUGUGUUGGGAGCAUAUAUAGUCCUGGUGGCUUUGGCAAGAAGCUUACUUCUUUAAGCUCCAGUUUCGUUUGUAAAAUGAGAAUAAUAAUAACUAAUGAUAGUAACUUUUUCAUUGGGAUACCAUGGAAGUUGAAUGAGCUAAUGCACGUAAAGCACUUACUUAGGACAAUGCCUGGUACACAGUAAGUGCUUCAUAUUUAUUCAACUGAGCUAGUAGUGAAUACAGUACCGCUCCUAAAUUCAAAGCGUUUAGAGGCCCCACCAUUAGUUCGGGUGCCAUAGCUACUCUGAAUCUGAUCUUGCUUUUCACCCUUAUUGGAGGUGUGAAAAGUUUCAUAAACAAAUAGCCUUUGGUAAUCUGACCCAGCUUCGACCUUCCACCGGAAACACACACCCUGCACAUCUGAAUUGCAGCUAACAGUUAACUUUUCAGAGCUUGCCAAUGGUUAUCCAACUGGUUUUACAGCCAAGGAGUUCACAGAGGAAGAAGGCAAUAAAAGAAAUGACUUCCUGCUGGCAGGCAAGCUUAAUUAUCCAAAAGUGGGAGAAAAGGCAGAUAGAGGCAGGUGGCUUCCUGUAGGUGUGGCUUUGGUCCAGCACUGCCAGAGCUCUGAGCAGUUAGUGCAUUGGCCUUUUCAUUUCCACCAGACACAGGGGCCAGAAAGGAGGCAGCUAGAACCAGCUCUUAGUCACCGAUGCUGGGGCAUCUCUUCAAGUCUCCUGCAGAAAGUGAACAACGAGGCUGAUGGUUCCCAGGGCAGUAGACUUGGGGGAUUACUAGCAUCACACAGCUUACAGGACACUUAUGAAGCUCUACCCUCGGAAGGGGCUGGUGAGAUUGUUAAAGAAGAAUAAAAUAUUUAGGCCAGACAGAGAAGGUAACUCAAGUACCAAGAAGGAACCCCAUUGGCUACCUAGUAGCCUGGGGUACCUAAUGAUCUAUGUCCCAAGUCCUGGUCCCGCUUUAAGACUUUUUGUGAUUGCUGCACCCUCGUCUUAGAAUGCUCUUCCUCUAAAUCUUCCUUUUCAACAUCCAGUGUCUCAAUGUCCAUGAUCUCAACUUAAAUGUCACCUCUUUGGAAAAGCCUUUCUAGACCCGCCCUCAUCCACCAGCCAUUCUCUAUCUCAUACCUUGUAAUAAUUUAUUGUCUCCACCCACUUUCCCCAAUCUAAAAUUAACUUGUCUCUUUGCUUGAUUAUUUGUUUGUCUGGGCCAUCUUUUCCUGCUCAAAUGCAAGCAUAAGGAGGGCAGAAAGAAGCCUCAGCUCUCGUUCACUGCCGUAUCCUCAGCUCCUAUUACAGGCUCUGGCACACAGUAAAUGCCCAAUAAAUGUGAGACUGGUGAAGGAAUGAAUAUGGGCAGACUGGGGAACUUCAGAUUUGAGCUCAACUUCCGGAACUUAUUGGUAAAGGUCCAGAAAGAAUCCUCACCCCUGCAGAAAGUCCAAUGACCCUAAAAGUCAGAACCCUAUCUGUAAAAUAAAAUGACAUCCUCUUAUCUGGUCAUUUUCUGGGCUCUCUGUACAUCCAGGAAGGAUGAUGGGGACCUCUUUCAUUUCUAGCGUACCCCGUAUGUAACAGGCAGAAGAGGCCUGGCCUUUCAGAAUAAUGCUCUCUCGGGUUUCCUCUUGCUGACUGUCUUGGGCUGGUGAGCUUAAAUCUGAGUUUCGACUCCCUAUGCUCAGGAUCAGAGCACUGAGGUACGUAGAGGGGUGCAGGAGUUGCUGCCCAGAGUAUGAACCUUUCUUUUUCUGUUCUUAGAAGAGGACAGGGAGGCUGAUAAAAAGGAGAGGGGACUUCCCAUGCCAAGUUCAGUGUGAAAAGGCCACCCAACUCACAUUUACUCUCGGAAAUAGUUCUCCCAAUUCUGGACAAGUUAGCUUCAAGCAUUUACCAACCCAGCACAGAGUCGAUUUCACCAAGGACUUCUGUUCCAAAGAAAGGGGCCAGAGGAAGGAACAGGCAGGACACACGACUAUCAAAACUGUGAAAUGAAUCAAAUCGGAACCAUUUCUCCGAUGAUCCGAGGUCCCUGAGGAGCACUCUGUUCUCGUUUUAUCCCAAUUGGCUUCUGUCUCCUCCAAAAUUCUUAACUGUCUAAAGACUUGUUCUCAGCCUGAGUUUCUGUCUGCUCCUCUGUGGCUGGAAAAAUGGAAAAACACCAGGAUAUUUCAAAGAGAUCAGAAAGCAGCCAGAGCUGUUCAAGACUGCACGUACCAUCUGACCCAGCCAAUUACAGAGUUUUAGAAACCAACAGGGAGCCAGCAGAGGAACCCAGGCCAAAUCCACAGCAUCCUGUUUAAACCUCUACCAUCCAUCAUUGUUAUUUGCCGGUGACUAAGUGCCUGCUGUGUGCUGGCCUGAUAAAGGAGACUCUCCAUGAGAGGCCUAUUGGGGGUUCAGUGACAGAGUUGCAAGGUCACCCGAGUGGCACUCAUCCCGACUCGCUGUGCAUGGUAAGUGGAAUAAUGGCCCCUCGAAGAUGUCCAUGUCCCGGUCCCCGGAACCUCAAAUAUGAAAAAACGUGACUCGGAGGGCGGGAUCAAGAGAACAGAGGCAAAAGGGACUUUGCAGAUCUGAUUAAAGGAUUAAAGUUGAGGACUCUGGGGAGGGGGAGAUGAUCCUGGAUUAUUCAGGUGGGCCCAAUCUAAUCACAAGAGUGCAUCAGAGAGAUUCGACAUGAGAAGGGCAUGACUUGUUGUUGCUUGCUUGGAAGAUAGAAAAAGGGGGCUCUGAGCCAAGGAAUGCAAUGGCCUCUAGAAGCAGGGAAUGGCCUUCAGCUUACAGCCAACAAGAAAACCAUGACCUUGGUCCUACAACCACAGGAACUGAAUUCUGCCAACAGCUCAAAAAAGCAGGGAGAACUGAUUCUCCCUUAAAAACUCCAAAAGAAAUGCAGCCUAAUGAUGCCUUGAUUUUAUCCUAGGGAGACCCAUACCAGACUCCCAACCUAUGUAACUGUAAUAUAAUAAGUUUAAUAUUUAAGCCAUUAAAUUUGUGGUAAUUUGUGAUAGCCUUAGAAAAUGAAGACACUGUGUGAUCCUGAGUAACUCCUCCUUUCCUACUGGGCCUCAGUCUCCCGUCAGUCAGUUGGAGAGGAUGGACGAGGUGGUCUCUAAGGGUCCGGCCAGCUCUCAAAGACUGACUCUGCUCUCCUGAUGUCCCCUGGAACCCUGCCUCAGGUCCAGAACAUUCCUGGAUUGAAGACCAUUAAAAAUAUACAUAGGAGUGAAGGGAAGAGAAGAUUAAUCUUUAAAAAGCCCCAAGGUGUUUCCUAAGAUGCCACUAGGGUGCUCAGAAAGCAAGGUCUCCGUUUUGCCAUUUAGUACUUCAUUGACCAUACCCCAGAGGAUUGAAAUGAGAAGUCUGGGAGAGCAAGAUAAAAUUUCACAAUCAACUCAUAGAGGCUAUCUAGAGCACUGAGUUGAGGAGGAUUCCCUGGCCUUGUGGAGGCUAGGUGCCUGUUUAUUAACAUCUGCCUGGGGCAGGGGAUUAGGAGCAGUGACGUGUGCCAGACAUGCAUCCCCGUUAAUUGAAACCCAGUUUAGUUUUCUCUGUCUUUCCUUCUCCCCACUCCAUUUCCCCUAAUCCUACGCCAUGUGUCAUUCAAUUCGCAUGCCCACUCAGAGGUCCAAAUCCAUAAAAUAAUGAAGUUAUAUCUGUACACAACUAGGGAAAUUAAAGUACACGGUUUAGUACUGAAUCUGGUUUGCUGUUGUGUAAUGUGCCGGGUGGUUAUAACUCCGACCUGUUCCCCUUCCUGGCUACCUCACUCCUAGCCUUUACUUCUGAAUGUACACCAUCCCCACUUGGCAUUCAUCUUCUGUUUCUCCAGUGAGUUGGAAGGGUACUAGGGUCCCUAGUGAUUCACUAGUCCAAUGGCUGUCGAAUUCUCAUCUAACUUCCUCUAGGUCACCCUUCAAGUAAGUGACAGGGGCAAGAUCUGACCCCAGAUCCCUCCAACUCCGAUGAGAUUCAGAGCAUGGGCCCUGGAGCCAAACUGCCUGGGUUCAAAUUGCAGCUCUGCCACUUACUUCCUCUGUGACCAUGGCUGAGUUGCUUUUUCUCUCUGGACCUCACUUCCCUCAUCGACAAAAUGGACGUAAUGAUGGUCCGUACCUCAUAUGAUUGAGGUAAAGACUAAACAAAUUAAUACAUGUCAAGUAUGAUUAUUCUUAUGUUAUUCAGCUUACCUGGCCAAUCAGAGUGGGGUUCUGCAGAAUGUGGUAAUCCCAACAGCCACUCCUAUAAACUGUGAAUGUGCGUACAUGUGUCUGGUUUUGAUACCACAGCCAACUGCUCAGAUAAAGAUCUUCUUUGCUCAGAGAUAAUUCCUUUGUAUGUUUAACCCAUGGAGAAGAAACAGCGCGUUUUUUUAAAGAAGGAUCAGAAUAUGGUUGAGAAAACAUCUGAGACUGUUAUGGCCUCUUUACCCCUCAGUCUGUCACCCCUGGGCUAUUUGACCUGACCACGUCAGAACCCUGAGUCUCUAAUUUGUGUCAUGUCUCCAACACCUCACCACAGCUCAGUGAUUCUUAGGCUGUGCCAGAAGGGGGAUUCCCCACAGUCCUGACUCCCCAAGAGGUCAGAGUUUGGAAGAUUUGGUGGCGUAACUAGGAAUCUCCAUAGUAUGAUUCACAACCCCGCAACAGCUAGAAACAGGAGUUUUUUUUUUUGGUUGUUACUGCAGAUGUAUGUGAUGUCCCAAAGCUCAGCUGGGCUGUCUCGGAUGUGCUCAGAGGAUUGCCGAGUGGACUGCAGAACCCAGAGAAUGUUCAGCCACGGACACCCAUCUGCUUAAUCCCCGCUUCCUCAUUUCACGGAUAGGGAGGUAGGGUCUGAACAGUGGACAUGCCCCCAUCAAAGUAACUCAGAGUGUCUGCUGACUCCCAGGGAACCGCACCCCCCGCCCCCCACAUUCAGGCAUUCACAACCCCUCCUGACUGCUCACCCCCUGCAGCGGUAGCCCAGAUCAUAGCUAGUGUACAAGAAAUCUCUGAUACUGAAUGACUGAGCAGCUGUCACUACAGCCCAGAGCUUUGAGUACUCUACAGACACAGGAGAUUCGAAUGAGCCCCAGGGUCUGAGCAACAGGACCAGUGCUGUUAGGAAGAAACAAGUGGAGAUGCGGGAAUAAGAGCCCAGUCUGGCCACUCAAAUCAAAAUAAGAACCUCCGACAGUUAUACAGGUUUGAAUGGUUCAAAUCUCUCAUUCUUUCACUUAGUAAACAGGGGCUAGCGCCAGGCCCCGGCCAAGUGCUGAGGAUGGCUCAGAGACAGGGGAGAGAGACAGUCCCUACCCUCAAGGAAUUUGUAGAGGGGACCCGGGUGCAAGAGAACCAGCAACCGGAACAGCCAAGUCCUCAGUAAAGAGGCGGAAAGAGGAGAGAAGGGAGCCUGGAAGGACACCUGGCACACCCCUUUCUCAUCUGAUUUCUGUAGACAAAGGCUAUUUUCUCCAUGUCACAGAUGGAGAAACACGGCUAGGAGAUCGGAUGGAGAAAGCGCUAGUGCCAGACCAGGGCUGGGACCCACCUCCCCUGACUCCAAACUUCGGGCGCCUUCUAAGACGGGCUUCGAGAAGAGCAGGACUGACAGCCGGACAGAAGCCUGUCUCCUGUGGGGCCAGCUUCCCAGAGGCCCAAGAUCGCGUGUAGACGGCGCGAACGUGUAAGGGUUGAAAAAAAGAAGAAACGGGAAGUGCCAAAGUGAUGAAAGGGAGAAAUGAAGAAAAGAGUUGGGAGGGCACUGGAGUAGAUGGCGGCGCGAGGACCGGAGCCUCGCGCGCGACACC